CCUACGGGAGGCAGCAGUGGGGAAUCUUGCGCAAUGGGCGAAAGCCUGACGCAGCGACGCCGCGUGGAGGAAGAAGGCCCUCGGGUUGUAAACUCCUUUCGUGAGGGAAAAGCCCUGAGUUUAUCGAAGGGUGAUGGUACCUCAGGAAGAAGCCACGGCUAACUCUGUGCCAGCAGCCGCGGUAAGACAGAGGUGGCAAGCGUUGUUCGGAUUUACUGGGCUUAAAGGGCGUGUAGGCGUUCUGAUAAGUUAGAUGUGAAAUCCCCGAGCUUAACUCGGGAAUUGCAUCUAAAACUGUCAGGAUUGAGUCAUACAUGGGAGGGCGGAAUUCCUGGUGUAGCAGUGAAAUGCGUAGAUAUCAGGAGGAACACCGGUGGCGAGGGCGGCUUCCUGGACCGGUUCUGACACUCAUGCGCGAAAGCGUGGGGAGCAAACAGGAUUAGAUCCCCCUGUAGU
rnacentral:rRNA from 1 species